rnacentral:rRNA from 1 species
AGGAUGAACGCUGGCGGCGUGCCUAACACAUGCAAGUCGAACGAAGCACUCAGGAGCGAUUUCGAUCAAUCCUGUUUGACUGAGUGGCGGACGGGUGAGUAACGCGUGAGGAACCUACCUUACAGUGGGGAAUAACAGUUGGAAACGGCUGCUAAUACCGCAUAAUGCAAAGAGACCGCAUGAUCUUUUUGUCAAAGAUUUAUCGCUGUAAGAUGGCCUCGCGUCUGAUUAGCUAGUUGGUGGGGUAAAGGCCCACCAAGGCGACGAUCAGUAGCCGGACUGAGAGGUUGACCGGCCACAUUGGGACUGAGAUACGGCCCAGACUCCUACGGGAGGCAGCAGUGGGGAAUAUUGGGCAAUGGGCGAAAGCCUGACCCAGCAACGCCGCGUGAAGGAAGAAGGCUUUCGGGUUGUAAACUUCUUUUAACAGGGACGAUAAUGACGGUACCUGUUGAAUAAGCUCCGGCUAACUACGUGCCAGCAGCCGCGGUAAUACGUAGGGAGCAAGCGUUAUCCGGAUUUACUGGGUGUAAAGGGCGUGUAGGCGGGACUACAAGUCAGAUGUGAAAAUUAUGGGCUCAACCCAUAACCUGCAUUUGAAACUGUGGUUCUUGAGUGCUGGAGAGGCAAAUGGAACUCCUAGUGUAGCGGUGAAAUGCGUAGAUAUUAGGAAGAACACCAGUGGCGAAGGCGAUUUGCUGGACAGUAACUGACGCUGAUGCGCGAAAGUGUGGGGAGCAAACAGGAUUAGAUACCCUGGUAGUCCACACCGUAAACGAUAGAUACUAGGUGUGGGGGGGUCUGACCCCCUCCGUGCCGCAGUUAACACAUUAAGUAUCCCACCUGGGGAGUACGAUCGCAAGGUUGA